AUGCUUUUCCGGCAGGCUGGAUAUCGGCAUAUUGAUUGUGCUCCAGUGUACCGCAAUGAGAAACAGGUUGGCUUGGCUUUGAAGAAAUUAUUUGAGGACGGUGUGGUUAGGCGUGAAGAUUUGUUUAUCACAUCUAAGCUAUGGUCUGGUGAUCAUGCACCUGAAGAUGUGCCAGAGGCAAUUGGCACUACUCUUAAGGAUUUGCAGCUUGACUUCUUAGACUUAUUCCUCAUUCACGGUCCAAUCCGCAUCAAGAAAGGAACAACGCCGAGCCUUGAAACCUUUCUCCCACCUGAUAUUCCUGCUACAUGGGGAGCGAUGGAGAAGCUAUACGACUCUGGCAAAGCUCGAGCAAUUGGUGUGAGUAACUUUUCUAGCAAGAAGAUGGAGGAUUUGCUUGCCGUCGCACGCGUGCCUCCAGCAGUCAACCAGGUUGAGUGUCAUCUGAUUUGGCAGCAAGACAAGCUCCGUAAACUAUGCCAUUCGAGGGGCGUUCAUCUUUCUGUAAGUUCGAUAAGUCAUCUCCAGUGCUGUAGCAUUUUCUUUCAGUUUCGUAAGCUUCUGCUACCUCCGUUUGCUGAUAAUCGGUACUGCACCACUCCCAUAUGUUGUGAAAAACUGCCACUUGUGUUGUUGCAGGCAUUUUCGCCAUUAGGUUCACCUGGAUCACCUCUACCUGGGAUCAUUAGUGUCCUUAGCAACCCUAUUGUCAUCUCUGUCGCCGAGAAGUUGCAGAAAACGCCUGCGCAGGUUGCCUUGCGCUGGGGUCUUCAAAUGGGUCAGAGUAUACUUCCAAAAAGCACCAAUGAAGCAAGGAUUAAGGAGAACUUUGACAUAUUUGAUUGGUCCAUUCCCAAAGAUUUGAUGGCGGAGCUCUCCGGUAUCAAGCAGGCAUGUCUCAAGUCUCAACACAUGUUUCUUCCGAUGUCGCAUGUCAUUGACUUGUCGUCCAUGUUUGUUACUUCCACUAUCUAA
rnacentral:rRNA from 1 species